rnacentral:lncRNA from 1 species
GAAGAGUUUAUGGACUGAGGAGGAAGAAAGAAUGUGAAAACAUUUAAAGUUUUAAUUUUAUCGGCUUUUCUAUUCAUUUUCAGUCUUCUCCAACUCUGACCCAGUUUUGCCUCUUUUCAUGAAGCUCUUGAUGAGAGAGAGGAAGAUGGAGAGAGAGAGGGCAGGAUUUAUGGACAUUAUGUGGGCACAAACAUUGCUCUGUUGCCAGACUGUGGUACCCCAGGCCAGAGGGAAGCCAAGCACAGACACCAUUCACACAAUUGGUAGGAAGGCAGGAAUAAGGCUCAGGAGUGCUGCUGCAUUCUGGAUUGUCUUUUCUCCCCAGGGGAGGGUGGGCCCAUCUCAGGCUUUGCCAGCUUCACAAGGAGUUGUUCAGGCAGAAAUCCCCUCCCCAGAGUUUCAUCAGAGAACAGGGUAAGGGAGGUGGCCUGAACCUUGAUCUGUGACAAAGUUAUAAUCAAUGCUGUAAAUUGCAGUUAGCCUCACCAGCUACAAAUGACAGUCAGCUCAGUGACACCAAAAUGUUGCUGUUGUAGAUGGCCAGCCUCGCUGGGAGGGGUACACCUUGACUGAGGGGGACACAUUCAGUCCCAUAAGGCCAGUGUGCAAAGUAGCCGUGUGUGUGUGUGUGUGUGUGUGUGUGUGUGUGUGUGUGUGUGUGUGUGUGUGUGUGUUGAUUGUGGGGGGAGGCAGUUGAGUAAGAAGGGUAACUCACUCCAAAUCUAUGAAGCAGUGACCUGCAGAAAGAACACAGCACUCUGCCCUGUACUGUAAUAGUUACCUGCUAUAGUGAGUCCAAGUAGAGACCAAGGGCUUCUCAAUGUGGUGGCCACGGCCACAAGGUCUAUAAAUGAUCCAAGAGAAAGGAAAGAAAGCAGAGUUGGCUGAUCACUUCCCCUUGAUUGCUUAAAUACGGCCGGCUUUCUUAACUGGUGUUUGAGGUGAGUCUGAUCGCUCGUCCCCUUUGGUUUGAUGUGGCAGCCAGUGUUUGGAAGGGAGCCCUGGAAUGUG